UUUUUUUUUUUUUUUUUUUUUUUGGCCACACUUGCAGCAUGUGGAAGUUCCCCAGGCCAGGGUGUGAGUUUGCACCACAGCCAUAACCACAGCCACAGCAGUGACAGUGGUUCCCAGACCAGGGAUUAAACCUAGGAUACAGUAGUGAAAGCACAGAAUCCUAACCAUUAGACAACCAGAGAACUCCCAGAUGAUGUUUUGGUUUUUUUUGUUUUUUUGUUUUUUUUUUAGGGCUGCACCUGUGGCAUAGGGAAGUUACAGGCUAGGGGUUUAAUUGAAGCUGCGGCUGCAGGCUUAUGCCACAGGCCACAGAAACACUGGAUCUGAGCCGCAUCUGCAACCUACGCCGUAGUUUGCGGCAACGCCAGGUCCUUACACCACUGAGUCAGGUCAGGGAUCAAACCCACAUCCUCACAGACAUUAUGUGGGGUUCUUAACCCUCUGAGCCACGACAGGAACUCCCAGAUCCUGUAUUUUAUGUUUUUUUUCCUUGCUUUUUAGGGCUGGCAGCUGUAGCACCGAUUAGACCCCAAGCCUGGGAACCUUCAUAUGCCGUGGGAGUGACCCUAGAAAAGACAAAAAAGAAAAGAAAAAGUUAUUCAAUGUCUCCUUGCUUUUCUAGGGCCACACCCGGGGCAUAUGGAGGUUCCUAGGCUAGGGGUCCAAUCGGAGCUACAGCUGCCAGUCUACACCAGAGCCACAGCAACGCCAGAUCCGAGCUGUGUCUGUGACCUACAUCACAGCUCAGGGCAAUGCCAGAUCCUUAAUCCACUGAGCAAGGCCAGGGAUCAAACCUGAAACCUCUUGGUUCCUAGUUGGAGUUGUUUUCUGCUGAACCACAACAGGAACUCCCUUAUUGAAUGCCUUCUACGUGAAUGAUAAUUGAUAUAUUCCCCACGUUCUAUAUGGUCAGGAACUAUAUAUUUCUUCUCCAUGUUUAUAUCCCAUUAUGUAUCACAUUGCCCAAUACACAGUAGAUACUUCAUAGUAUUGAUUAAAUAGUUGAAGACUAAAUAAAAAAGAUAACCUUAAUACCCUUGAAAGGCUCAAUACCUGGGGUUCACACAGUGAGUGGCUCAGUGGUUGAUGAAUCCGACUAGGAACCAUGAGGUUGCUCAGUGUGUUAAGGAUCCGGCGUUGCCGUGAGCUGUGGUGUAGGUUGCAGACUCAGCGGAUCCCGCAUUGCUGUGGCUCUGGCGUAGGCCGGUGGCUACAGCUCCGAUUAGCCCCUAGCCUGGGACCCUCCAUGCCGCGGGUAUGGCCCUAAAAAGACAAAAAAAAAGCUUAAUACCAAAUAGGUGAAAUAAUACAAGUGUACAAGUAACUGUUAUAGUGAUAGAUGUAAAAUAAAAAAUACACCAGGUUCUAUAGAUAUAGAAAUAUUCAAAAAUAAAAAUAAAUGAAGAUUUCAAGCAGAAGUAAUAUUUAUGCUGAAGUGAAUUAAAAAAUAGACCUCAGGGAGUUCCCGUCGUGGCGCAGUGGUUAACGAAUCCGGCUAGGAACCAUGAGGUUUCGGGUUCCAUCCCUGGUGGCUCAGUGGGUCAAGGAUCCGGCGUUGCUGUGAGCCCAUGGCAUAGGUUGCAGACAUGGUUGGAUCCCGCAUUGCUGUGGCUCUUGUGUAGGCCGGUGGCUACAGCUCUGAUUCCACCCCUAGCCUGGGAACCUCCAGAAAAG
rnacentral:lncRNA from 1 species